AAGACUUAGUCCUAACCUUACCAUUAAUUCUUGUCAGACCUAUACAUGCAAGUAUCUGCGUCCCAGUGUAAAUGCCCCCAGCCCCUUACCAAGGCAAGGGGAGCGGGCAUCAGGCACACCUACCGUAGCCCAAGACGCCUUGCUUAGCCACACCCCCACGGGUACUCAGCAGUAAUUAACAUUAAGCAAUAAGUGCAAACUUGACUUAGUCAUGACAACAUUUAGGGUUGGUAAAUCUUGUGCCAGCCACCGCGGUCAUACAAGAAACCCAAAUUAAUUGUCCACGGCGUAAAGAGUGGUCCAACACUAUCGUCCCCGCCUGAGGCCAAAACAUGCCUAAGCUGUCAUAAGCCCAAGACAUCCCUAAGCCCCCCAAUGUAACCCCACCUCAGCCUCAACGACUAACUACCCCCACGAAAGCCAGGAAACAAACUGGGAUUAGAUACCCCACUAUGCCCGGCCAUAAAUUUAAGUGCUUCUCCCCCAACCAAAGCAUUCGCCAGGGAACUACGAGCACAAACGCUUAAAACCCUAAGGACUUGGCGGUGUCCCAAACCCACCUAGAGGAGCCUGUUCUAUAAUCGAUAACCCACGCUACACCCAACCCCCCCUUGCCCUAAGCAGCCUAUAUACCGCCGUCGCCAGCUCACCUCCCCUGAGAGCCCAACAGUGAACACAACAGUCUCACCCACUAGAAAGACAGGUCAAGGUACAGCCCAUGGGGGGGAAAGAAAUGGGCUACAUUUUCUGACCCAGAGAACCCCUAACGGAAGAGGACUUGAAAACAGCCCUCAGAAGGCGGAUUUAGCAGUAAGACAUAACCACCAUGCUUGUCUUAAGCCGGCCCUAGGACACGUACAUACCGCCCGUCACCCUCAUCGCAAGCACACCUCCCCCCCAAUUAGAACCUCAACCAGCCAAAGACGAGGUAAGUCGUAACAAGGUAAGUGUACCGGAAGGUGCACUUAGCAUAC
rnacentral:ncRNA from 1 species